GUCAAAUUUUGGAUAAACAUUACUUUGAUCAAAGUUACCAUACAAGAAGCUAGCUCUGAUGAGGUAUCGAGUUCUAGCUGUCACAUUCAUAGUAUAGCAGUACUUUCUGGUAUCUGCAGGGAAGUACCGGACUGUCGUAUAUUGCUUACGGUUUUCACUUGGGAUGGUAAUCGAAGCUGUUUCACCAUAGUUGUUUUGCUCAUCAGGAACCCACUCAAGACCAAGAUCAUCUGUAUAACUUUCGGUGCCUCCACAAUCCAUACUUACGAAACCAGGCUGAGCUGUGGAUGAGGGAAGCAGCAUGAAGAGCUGGA
rnacentral:misc_RNA from 1 species